UAAUUGAGCCUCGUCGGAGGGCGGACAGGUUUACUGCGGUGGAAAGAGCGAAAGCCGUCGCGGUCCAGUUGUUCCUUCUUUCCAGAUGGGUUCGGGCUAGGACCGACAGAUCCGCUGCGUCCCGAAGGGGAAUCCACUGGAGACGGACCGAGACUGGGAUAGGUGAACACACGAGGGGUGGCGUCCGACCGGUAACACCGGCAGCGUCGAGGGAGGACACACGAGGAGAGCAACUCACAGACAGCGAGGGA